AACGAACGCUGGCGGCGUGGUUUAGGCAUGCAAGUCGAGCGCGAACGAGGGCUUCGGCUCUCUAGUAGAGCGGCGAAAGGGUGAGUAAUGCUCGGGCAAUCUGCCCCCUGCAUUGGGAUAGCCACUGGAAACGGUGGGUAAUACCAGGCGGUCUCCGAGUGGCCACGGUCACACGGAGUAAAGGUGGGGAUCCUUAGGGACCUACCGGCAGGGGAGGAGCUCGAGUCCUAUCAGCUUGUUGGUGCGGUAACGGCGCACCAAGGCUAAGACGGGUAGCCGGACUGAGAGGUUGGCCGGCCACACUGGCACCGAGACACUGGCCAG
rnacentral:rRNA from 1 species